rnacentral:rRNA from 1 species
AUUGAACGCUGGCGGCAUGCUUUACACAUGCAAGUCGAACGGCAGCGCGGGCUUCGGCCUGGCGGCGAGUGGCGAACGGGUGAGUAAUGCAUCGGAACGUGCCCAGUAGUGGGGGAUAGCCCGGCGAAAGCCGGAUUAAUACCGCAUACGACCUGAGGGUGAAAGCGGGGGACCGAAAGGCCUCGCGCUAUUGGAGCGGCCGAUGUCGGAUUAGCUAGUUGGUGGGGUAAAGGCUUACCAAGGCGACGAUCCGUAGCUGGUCUGAGAGGACGACCAGCCACACUGGGACUGAGACACGGCCCAGACUCCUACGGGAGGCAGCAGUGGGGAAUUUUGGACAAGGGGGGCAACCCUGAUCCAGCCAUGCCGCGUGCGGGAAGAAGGCCUUCGGGUUGGAAACCGCUUUUGUUCGGGAAGAAAUCCUCUGGGCUAAUACCCCGGGGGGAUGACGGUACCGGAAGAAUAAGCACCGGCUAACUACG